rnacentral:rRNA from 1 species
GACGAACGCUGGCGGCGUGCUUAACACAUGCCAGUCGAACGGAAAGGCCCUGCUUUUGUGGGGUGCUCGAGUGGCGAACGGGUGAGUAACACGUGAGUAACCUGCCCUUGACUUUGGGAUAACUUCAGGAAACUGGGGCUAAUACCGGAUAGGAGCUCCUGCUGCAUGGUGGGGGUUGGAAAGUUUCGGCGGUUGGGGAUGGACUCGCGGCUUAUCAGCUUGUUGGUGGGGUAGUGGCUUACCAAGGCUUUGACGGGUAGCCGGCCUGAGAGGGUGACCGGCCACAAUGGGACUGAGAGACGGACCAGACUCCUACGGGAGGCAGCAGUGGGGAAUAUUGCACAAUGGGCGGAAGCCUGAUGCAGCAACGCCGCGUGCGGGAUGACGGCCUUCGGGUUGUAAACCGCUUUCGCCUGUGACGAAGCGUGAGUGACGGUAAUGGGUAAAGAAGCACCGGCUAACUACGUG